UACGUAGGGUGCAAGCGUUAAUCGGAAUUACUGGGCGUAAAGCGUGCGCAGGCGGUGAUGUAAGACAGAUGUGAAAUCCCCGGGCUCAACCUGGGAACUGCAUUUGUGACUGCAUCGCUGGAGUACGGCAGAGGGGGAUGGAAUUCCGCGUGUAGCAGUGAAAUGCGUAGAUAUGCGGAGGAACACCGAUGGCGAAGGCAAUCCCCCUGGGCCUGCUAUGACGCUCAUGCACGAAAGCGUGGGGAGCAAACAGG
rnacentral:rRNA from 1 species